UACGGAGGGUGCAAGCGUUAUCCGGAUUCACUGGGUUUAAAGGGUGCGUAGGUGGGCAGGUAAGUCAGUGGUGAAAUCCCCGAGCUUAACUUGGGAACUGCCAUUGAUACUAUUUGUCUUGAAUACUGUGGAGGUUAGCGGAAUAUGUCAUGUAGCGGUGAAAUGCUUAGAUAUGACAUAGAACAUCAAUUGCGAAGGCAGCUGGCUACACAAAUAUUGACACUGAUGCACGAAAGCGUGGGGAUCAAACGGG
rnacentral:rRNA from 1 species